UUCACAAGAAGCAACAAUAGCCACAAAAUGAAUUCAUGCAAAUUUGCCUGUAUUGUAAAUGAAAGAAAGCAAAUUCAAAAACAUUCAUUAACCACUUUCCACAACAUUUAGCUUAACAAAAGAAAAAUUACAAUUGAGGGUUUUUCAGUCAACCACUCUUGCAUUAACCAGCACUAAUCUGGCAAUUUAUCUCUCACAAGAUGCUAGAUUUUGGUAGAAGAAAACCAAAGGGAAAAUUGGACGAUGAGAAAACGAGGAGGGAUAAAACUAGAUUUUCAAACAGCACAAGCUCUUAGGAUCCAAUUUUAGAACUAAUAAUCCCUCAUUUAAAGUAUAUAAUAUACAAAGACACUCACAAGGUUAAGAAUAACAGAUAUGUUCUGAGGAAAAAAAAAAGUUACAGCUAUAAGAUAGAUCAUUACAAUCAGAAACAAUUAGUAUGAAAGAGCAUACCUGUACAUGUACUAACUAUAAAUAACAAGCAUAAGAUAUAGUUCUGCUUCAGAGAAUAAAUUUUCAGCUGACUAUUUAUCAUGCCAAAGUUUUAUGUAAAAAUUUG
rnacentral:misc_RNA from 1 species